rnacentral:rRNA from 1 species
UACGUAGGGUGCGAGCGUUGUCCGGAAUUACUGGGCGUAAAGAGCUCGUAGGUGGUUUGUCGCGUUGUUCGUGAAAACUCACAGCUCAACUGUGGGCGUGUGGGCGAUACUGGCAGACUGGAGUACUGCAGGGGAGACUGGAAUUCCUGGUGUAGCGGUGGAAUGCGCAGAUAUCAGGAGGAACACCGGUGGCGAAGGCGGGUCUCUGGGCAGUAACUGACGCUGAGGAGCGAAAGCUGGGGGAGCAAACGGG